rnacentral:rRNA from 1 species
AACGCGAAGAACCUUACCUGGGUUUGACAUCCCCGGACAGCCCUAGAGAUAGGGUUUCCCCUUCGGGGGCCGGGAGACAGGUGCUGCAUGGCUGUCGUCAGCUCGUAUCGUGAGAUGUCGGGUUAAGUCCCUUAACGAGCGCAACCCUUAUCCCUAGUUGCCAUCAUUUAGUUGGGCACUCUAUGGAGACUGCCGGUGUUAAACCGGAGGAAGGUGGGGAUGACGUCAAGUCCUCAUGGCCUUUAUAUCCAGGGCAACACACGUGCUACAAUGGCCGGUACAGAGGGUUGCCAACCUGAAAAGGGGAGCUAAUCUCAGAAAGCCGGUCCUAGUUCGGAUUGAAGUCUGCAAUUCGACUUCAUGAAGCUGGAAUCGCUAGUAAUCGCGGAUCAGAACGCCGCGGUGAAUACGUUCCCGGGCCUUGUACACACCGAGACGUA